UUUGUUACAUGAAUGAAGGAAAUGUGGACCCUUGGCACAAUGUUGUGUGUAGACUACAGCUUUCUAUCUGCACCAAUAUGAUGCCAGGCGAUCCAUGUUUUUGAUAGCGCCAACUUAUCU
rnacentral:precursor_RNA from 10 species